rnacentral:rRNA from 1 species
AGAUUAAGCCAUGCAUGUCUCAGUACAAGCCUCAUUAAGGUGAAACCGCGAAAGGCUCAUUAAAUCAGUUAUGGUUCCUUAGAUCGUACCCACAUUUACUUGGAUAACUGUGGUAAUUCUAGAGCUAAUACAUGCAAACAGAGUUCCGACCGGAGACGGGAGGAAUGCUUUUAUUAGAUCAAAACCAAUCGGCGGCGGGCGCGUCCGCGCGCCCGUUCGCCGCUCAACCUGGUGACUCUGAAUAACUUUCGGCUGAUCGCACGGUCCAGCACCGGCGACGCAUCUUUCAAAUGUCUGCCUUAUCAACUGUCGAUGGUAGGUUCUGCGCCUACCAUGGUCGUAACGGGUAACGGGGAAUCAGGGUUCGAUUCCGGAGAGGGAGCCUGAGAAACGGCUACCACAUCCAAGGAAGGCAGCAGGCGCGCAAAUUACCCACUCCCGGCACGGGGAGGUAGUGACGAAAAAUAACGAUACGGGACUCAUCCGAGGCCCCGUAAUCGGAAU